GGGGAGUGUCAAGUAACGGGUUAGCCUAUAUAGGUGUCCAUACACUCUACAAUGUGAGGGGAGUGUCAAGUAACUGGUUAGCCUAUAUAGGUGUCCAUACACUCUACAAUGUGAGGGGAGUGUCAAGUAACUGGUUAGCCUAUAUAGGUGUCCAUACACUCUACAAUGUGAGGGGAGUGUCAAGUAACUGGUUAGCCUAUAUAGGUGUCCAUACACUCUACAAUGUGAGGGGAGUGUCAAGUAACGGGUUAGCCUAUAUAGGUGUCCAUACACUCUACAAUGUGAGGGGAGUGUCAAGUAACUGGUUAGCCUAUAUAGGUGUCCAUACACUCUACAAUGUGAGGGGAGUGUCAAGUAACUGGUUAGCCUAUAUAGGUGUCCAUACACUCUACAAUGUGAGGGGAGUGUCAAGUAACUGGUUAGCCUAUAUAGGUGUCCAUACACUCUACAAUGUGAGGGGAGUGUCAAGUAACUGGUUAGCCUAUAUAGGUGUCCAUACACUCUACAAUGUGAGGGGAGUGUCAAGUAACGGGUUAGCCUAUAUAGGUGUCCAUACACUCUACAAUGUGAGGGGAGUGUCAAGUAACUGGUUAGCCUAUAUAGGUGUCCAUACACUCUACAAUGUGAGGGGAGUGUCAAGUAACUGGUUAGCCUAUAUAGGUGUCCAUACACUCUACAAUGUGAGGGGAGUGUCAAGUAACGGGUUAGCCUAUAUAGGUGUCCAUA